rnacentral:lncRNA from 1 species
AGCAGGAUUUAAGAACCACAUGAUAAAUUCUCCUUUAUCAUUUUAAAAGUAGUUCUAAAGAUUUUAUCAUAACAUAUGAGUUCUAUUUAGUAAGAUGUAUUCUUUAUGAUGAAUCUACCAUAUAACAUUUAUCAUUUUUAUAAUUUAUAUACAUAUAUGAAGUGCAAUCAUCUACAACUUAGAUGAUUGGCUUUAAGAUACAUUUUUCAACAACUCCCACUUGGACUAAAGCCAAUCAGAUUGGUAUCAAAUAUCCAUCUUCCAUUUG